rnacentral:lncRNA from 1 species
CUAUUACAUUCAUUCCUCCUUUUCUCCUAAGACCAAGUGAUCCUACUCCCAAUUCCCAAGAGACGUGAACAAGAAUGUUCAGAGCAGACUGAAUAAUAACCUAAAACUGGAAACAGCCCGAGUAUCCAUGGACAGCAGAAUGGAUAGACAGAUUAUGGCAUAACCACGCAGUGGAGUACUGUACAGCAGUGAACAGUAACGCACACUGCAGAUGAACCUCGCAAGCAUCAUGGUGAGCCAAGCAAGCCAGACACAGAUGAGGACCUACUGCAUGAGUCCAUUUCUGCCAAGUUCAAGUGCAGCCAGAACUAGCCUGUAGUGAUAGAGGUCACAGAGUGGUUAUUUCUGGGGGAUGUCGACCAGGAAGAGGCACGAGGGAGCCUGCUGGAUCCAGGGGGUGGUCACGAGAAGCCCCCCUCCCCGCUGUGUGCAUGUGUGAACAUUCUUCAGGCUUGCACCUGCAACAGAAGGGAACUGUGUCCCCUCCUCUCAGGUGAGGGGCUGCUCCUCGAAAACCCCGCAGCCCCUGGGCCACCAGGACGCCACGCCUGGGCAGUGAGUCACUCUUCUCCAUGCCAGGCAGGAGCUCCAGGGACAGGGGAAUGACCCCACAGCGCGAAGGCCGGCCCGGCAGGAGGCCCAGGCACAGCCCUUGGCUGCCAGGGAGGGAGGAGGAGAGUGGAAACUUGUGCAGUCGUUUCUCACUUUUCAAGCCAGUUAACGGGGACCAACCUCACAGAUGAGCAACAGCCCGAACCUUGGCUCUUUCUGUUCGAGAAACCACAGAGGAAGGGAGAGUUGGAUUUGGCUGUAGAGAAAGUGACCCUUGAGUGUGGAGAAACCGACCACACAUCAGCCCCAUCAUAAACCAAUUUGGAAGGCAAACGAUGAAACGGGAAAAUGCAGUGGCAGCGUAUUGGACAAGUGAAGGGAAAAAUCCUUAAUGUGCAAAGAGUGUGCGUGAAUCGGUGAGAAGCCGUGACCACCUCAGGGGAAAAUGUGCAAAGAGCAAAAGGAGAAAUGCAGUGACCAGUAACUGGGUGAGAAGAACCAACCUCCCGUUAACCGGAGAUGCACAUUAAAAAGGAAAUACGGGGAAGUUCCUCUUGUGGCUUAGUGGUAACGAACCCGACUAGUAUCCAUGAGGUUGUGGGUUUGAUCCCGGGCCUUGCUCAUGGGUUAACGAUCCGGCGUUGCCGUGAGCUGUGGUGUAGGUUGCAGACGCGGCUCGGAUCCCGCGUUGCUGUGGCUGUGGCGUAGGCCGGUGGCUACAGCCCCGAUUCAACCCCUGGCCUGGGAACCUCCAUAUGCCGCGGGAGCGGCCCAAGAAAUAGCAACAACAGCAAAAACACAAAAGACAAAAAAAAAAAAAAAAAA